AGUGCCCAGAGGAACUGAGUUAAAGAACGGAGCUCUGCAGAGUUAAAACAAAGCCUUAAAGCCACGUGAUGAUACGAGUCCCGUAUCCUUGUGUUAUCCAAGAUAAAUUUUGUGGAAUUAUAAAUAUCUCAGUGGAGGCUCUUCAUGAUGUCAUGACAGAAGACCCUGAAACAAGAACUUACAAAGAUUGUAUGUUGAUGUCUCAACACGAGGAACCGAAAGUAACAGAAGAUGAAGAGCCACCCACAGAACAAGACAAGAGGAAAAAGAUGCUGGCCCUGAAGGACCCGGUGCACACAGUGUCUCUGCAGCAGUUCAUCUAUGAGAAGCUCAAGGCGCAGCAGGAGAUCCUGGGGGAGCAAGGCUUCCAGUCCCUCAUGGAAACGGUGGACACAGAGAUUGUCACCCAGCUGCAGGAGUUUUUGCAAGGAUUCUAAGAGCACGUGUCAUGUGGCCACCAUCCCUUCUGAAAGAAGCUGAGUAACCCAGCCUGCCAUCCAUUUAUGAGCCUGCUGAGAUAAGAUCAUUUGUGUAUGAAUAUAAAGAAACCAAGACCAUAAAUUUUUUACUAUAAAAUAUAAAGAAUAAGUAUAAAUCCCAAAUAUUAAAGUCAGAAAACUAUUCCUCAAAAGAAUUUAAUUUUAUAUUUAUGAGGGGCCCUGUGCUGACUAGAGGUGCAUUUAUUGAGAGUAGCUGCAUUGUCUCUUGUUAAGAAACUCGCUGAUUAUCUUUGAAUCAUGAGCUCUUAACACUUGAGAAGAUGAAGGUUGAUGUUCCAGAUGUUUUUCUGCAACCCAAAAUUAAUUAAAUGUGGUUGCCUUAUCCUAAUUUUUUUUAAGCUAAUGAAACAAGUUUGAGAAAUGAGAAUGCUGUGCAAAUGAUAGAAUUCCAUUUGUGCAUAGCAACAUCCCAACAGCUGCCCUCUACCUGGGUAUCUCACAAGGGAGCUGUUUGCAUUCGACAGAGAAUCAAAUGCUUUUAUUUUCAUUCUAGUAGUCUGAUAGAGGAAUCAGUAAAGGCACUUUUAACUUUACUCUGAGUGCAUACAUUGCAAGGCACACUGAAGUGAACCUGCAGUACUGUAGUGCCAAGCGGGAGAGCCCUGGUGAGCCUCCAGCCCUGGCUCCUUUGCUACAUGUGAAGGCCAGUAGCCCUGGGAGCACCAGGAAGAACCAGAUAACUCCAAGUCCCCUUCCACUGUGACAGUCGUGCUUGGCUGUGACAGGCUACCCAGUAUUUACCCAUCUCAGGUUCCUCAGUACCAGGGUGUGUCAGCACCUCAGUGCCAUGGGUGCACCUCAGAGGACCCAGCAGCAGUCCCUGGGUACUAGCACUGACAUAACUAGUCUUCCUUCCUGUCCCUCCAUUGCACUAAGCGUGCGAGGGAGAGAACUGACGCCUUACUCUGCAUUACUUGCCAUUGUGAGGAACCUUUAGUGCAUCAUCUCCUAGGAAAUACUGAAAAGCAAGAUUGGAAAUGUCGUAUCUUUCUAUAGAGAUUUGGGUACAGUGUAUAACUGUAGGAAAACCACUACCCCUUUGUAAGCUAUGGAACCCAUAGUGUCUACGGAUAUAUGAUGUUUUCAGCAAAGAAAAUAUGGUCCAAUUAAAUUUUCCAAAGAUACCUCA
rnacentral:lncRNA from 1 species